rnacentral:rRNA from 1 species
UACGGGGGGGGCAAGCGUUGUUCGGAAUUACUGGGCGUAAAGGGCUCGUAGGCGGCCGACUAAGUCAGACGUGAAAUCCCCAGGCUCAACCUGGGAACUGCGUCUGAUACUGGUUGGCUUGAAUUUGGGAGAGGGAUGCAGAAUUCCAGGUGUAGCGGUGAAAUGCGUAGAUAUCUGGAGGAAUACCGGUGGCGAAGGCGGCAUCCUGGACCAACAUUGACGCUGAGGAGCGAAAGCUAGGGGAGCAAACGGG